rnacentral:rRNA from 1 species
UACGUAGGGGGCAAGCGUUGUCCGGAUUUAUUGGGCGUAAAGAGCGUGUAGGCGGCUUUACAGGUCCGUUGUGAAAACUCGAGGCUCAACCUCGAGACGCCGGUGGAAACCGUAAAGCUAGAGUCCGGAAGAGGAGAGUGGAAUUCCCGGUGUAGCGGUGAAAUGCGCAGAUAUCGGGAAGAACACCCGUGGCGAAGGCGGCUCUCUGGGACGGUACUGACGCUGAGACGCGAAAGCGUGGGGAGCGAACAGG